UGUUCACCCACCAAUAGGGAACGUGAGCUGGGUUUAGACCGUCGUGAGACAGGUUAGUUUUACCCUACUGAUGAUCGUGUCGCAAUAGUAAUUCAACCUAGUACGAGAGGAACCGUUGACUCACACAAUUGGUCAUCGCGCUUGGUUGAAAAGCUAGUGGCUUAAAGCUACCGUGCGCUAGAUUAUGACUGAAUGCCUCUAAGUCAGAAUCCAGGCUAGAAGCGACGCAUGCGCCUGUCGCCCGAUUGCCGACCCCUAGUAGGGGCCUUUGGCCCCCAAGGGUACGUGUCGUAUGUGCAGCGACAGCAGCGGACAAGUCGCAGGUGCCUCCUUGGAGCGUAAUUCCCACCGAGUGGCGGGU
rnacentral:ncRNA from 1 species